rnacentral:rRNA from 1 species
UACGUAGGGGUCGAGCGUUGUCCGGAGUUACUGGGCGUAAAGCGUGCGCAGGCGGCUCAUCGCGCUCGGCGUGAAAGCCCCCGGCUCAACCGGGGAGGGUCGUCGAGGACGGGUGAGCUUGAGGGUAUCAGGGGUUGGUGGAAUUCCCGGUGUAGUGGUGAAAUGCGUAGAGAUCGGGAGGAACACCCGUGGCGAAGGCGGCAUCCUGGACCGGCAUUGACGCUGAGGAGCGAAAGCCAGGGGAGCAAAGCGGG